CUCGCGCUCUUUGUGUCUCCGGUGCGCAGAGGGCGUGUGUGCGAGCUACGGGGUGGGGGAGGGCGGCG
rnacentral:sRNA from 1 species